UGGGGGAUAUUGCACAAUGGGCGAAAGCCUGAUGCAGCGACGCCGCGUGGGGGAUGAAGGCCUUCGGGUUGUAAACUUCUUUUGCUCUGAACAAGGCAUGCUAAUGGGUGUGUUGAGUGUAGGGGUUGAUUAGCGCCGGCUAACUACGUGCCAGCAGCCGCGGUAAUACGUAGGGCGCGAGCGUUGUCCGGAAUUAUUGGGCGAAAAGGGCUUGUAGGUGGCUGGUUGCGUCUGUCGUGAAAGCUCAUGGCUUAACUGUGGGUUUGCGGUGGGUACGGGCUGGCUUGAGUGCAGUAGGGGAGGCUGGAAUUCCUGGUGUAGCGGUGGAAUGCGCAGAUAUCAGGAGGAAUACCGGUGGCGAAGGCGGGUCUCUGGGCUGUUACUGACACUGAGGAGCGAAAGCAUGGGGAGCGAACAGG
rnacentral:rRNA from 1 species